ACACUUCACUUGUAUCCGGAGUACUUUAUUUAGCUCGGUGAUUAAUUAAUGCAUGCAAUAGUCAGGAUAAUUUGGUCUACGACUAUGAGGGUAAUGUUAUUGGUGCACGUUGCAUAUCAAAGGAGUGACACUGUGUAGCUGCUUUCAAGAUCUUACGGCACUCGAUUUACAAAGCUAGCCACCUGUGAAACGUCAUUGCAGCAGAGGCAUCACCACCCACCAACGUGGCCACGUUUUCUGCCUAGAAACACCAUCGACUAAUUGGAAUUGCGAGACCAAAGAAUCCCGUGGGCUGGGACCAACGUGGGACAUGGGGGCUGGACAGAGUGUAGAGGAAACCAGACGGUUGGACAACGUCAGUGACCACAUCCAGAAGUCCAACGCCCAUCCAGAGGCUGACAUGGCACCUAACCCACAGGAGCCUGCUGCGGAGCUCCCCCAGCGCAGGAUGGGCGACAAGAACGUGGAUGACAUGUGCUUCAUGAUCUCAUGCACCAACUGGUACUAGAGGGUGGUGGGUGGCAGCAGGCGACGCAUUUAAAAACAGUCGUACGCACACCCCAAAACUUUUGCCUUGAUGCCGCAUCCUGAGAGAAUGAUAAAGCUAAGAGUGUUCACCUCUGCACCUCACGAUUUACUCCAAUAGCGUAGAUAAAAAGCACAAGUACAGUCGAGGAAGUGGCCGCGCUGCGCGUGGGGGGCUCAGGUGCAGUGCUAAUUGCACUGUUAUUACCGUCCAGGUUCGUUCAGACAGCUACUCGGAAGUCUAGAGCAUGCAAAAAUAAACCCUUCUACUGCGGCGUG